UACACUCCUGCGGGAGGCAGCAGUGGGGAAUUUUGGACAAUGGGCGAAAGCCUGAUCCAGCAAUGCCGGGUGAGUGAAGAAGGCCUUCGGGUUGUAAAGCUCUUUUGUCAGGGAAGAAACGGUGAGAGCUAAUAUCUCUUGCUAAUGACGGUACCUGAAGAAUAAGCACCGGCUAACUACGUGCCAGCAGCCGCGGUAAUACGUAGGGUGCAAGCGUUAAUCGGAAUUACUGGGCGUAAAGCGUGCGCAGGCGGUUUUGUAAGUCUGAUGUGAAAUCCCCGGGCUCAACCUGGGAAUUGCAUUGGAGACUGCAAGGCUAGAAUCUGGCAGAGGGGGGUAGAAUUCCACGUGUAGCAGUGAAAUGCGUAGAUAAGUGGAGGAACACCGAUGGCGAAGGCAGCCCCCUGGGUCAAGAUUGACGCUCAUGCACGAAAGCGUGGGGAGCAAACAGGAUUAGAAACCCGGGUAGUCCCAUG
rnacentral:rRNA from 1 species